rnacentral:lncRNA from 1 species
UUCACCAAAACUACAACAAAAAUAGUCUAUUGACAAAGACCAUAUGUUGCACCACACAUGUUGGAACAUCGUGUUCCACAUGUUGCAGCAGAACAUCCAAAAUAACUCUCAUCAUAAAAAUCAUCUUUGUAGAGUAAAUCUUGGAUUAAAUAAAUCUAAACCUCAUCUUCAUUCAAAGAAAGUUCAAUCAAAUCUUUUAUGAUAACAUCAAAUCCAAACCUUUUCCAAAUUAAUUUGGAUUAACAAAACAAAAUUCU